rnacentral:rRNA from 1 species
UACAGAGGUCUCAAGCGUUGUUCGGAUUCAUUGGGCGUAAAGGGUGCGUAGGUGGCGCUGUAAGUCGGGUGUGAAAUUUCGGAGCUUAACUCCGAAACUGCAUUCGAUACUGCGGUGCUUGAGGACUGGAGAGGAGACUGGAAUUCCCGGUGUAGCGGUGAAAUGUGUAGAGAUCGGGAGGAACACCGGUGGCGAAGGCGGUUCUCUGGGCAUGUCCUGACGCUGAGGAGCGAAAGUGUGGGGAGCGAACAGG